GCCCGGUUAGCUCAGUUGGUAGAGCGCGGGACUUUCAAUCCUGAGGCCGAGGGUUCAAUUCCCUCAUCGGGCG
rnacentral:tRNA from 1 species